UCUCCUUGUUCCCUAAUCCCCCCUCUGUCUCUCUCCGUUUCCCAAUCCUCUCUCUCCCUCCCGAUCUUUGCUCCAUCUCUCUCAUUCUCCUCCCUCUCUCCUCAAUGCAUCUCUGUCGCUGGUUCUAUCUCUCUCUAUUACAGCAGCUGUGAAGCUCCUACCCGAAGAAACACACGCUGUGAAGCUCCUCUCCAUAGCAUUUCUUUUGCUGCAGGCUGGUGCAAACAAUGGAUUAUUCAGUUACAGUGUUUGAUACGGCUCCAACUGGCCAUACAUUGUGGCUUCUGCAAUUCCCCACAACAUUAGAGAAGGGGCUAGACAAAAUGAUGAGCUUGAGAAAUAGAUUCAGUGACCUGUUGAAUCAGGUAUGAUAAGUUGUAAUUUUUCUAUUCUUCUUGACUCCCUUGCUACAAGGAUUUUUAGUUCGCACUUGUGGGAUCUAUCGGUCAUAAUUAACAGGCGAUGCCCAUAUAUGAAUUCAUGAGAAAUUCAAAUUGACGCAAACAAAUAUUAGGGUAAACAAAGGAUUACAUGAUAAUAUUUGUGGAAUAUGAAUAAAUUCAAAAAUACAUCAAAUAUUUCAUGUUUAGGAUACCAUUAGAACUGUUGUGUUAUCAUGUCAAUUAGCUAGUAUGUGAUUUCUAUUAGGUGAUGGGGGUGGGGUGCAACUUAGGUGGAUUGCGUUAGGUUGAGGGUCAACCUGACCCAACACGAAUUGCAAGUCGAGCCCUCAACCUGACCUCAAGAGGAUCCAGUAUGCAACCUGACCCAACAUGAAUUGCAACCCGAGGUGCCUAAGCCAAAUCCAAACAUAAUUCCUCUUUACUCGACCCGACCUUAACCAAAUCAACCUGACCUAAAUUCAUGCGAUCAUACCCAACCUGAUCCCAACUUGCUCAACCCAAUUUCGAAUUGGGUUGGUGUUUUCCAACCCUAACAAGAACAAGUUUUGGUUGACGCAAACCCUAGUUGCAGGCCUAUUAGCUACUUGAUUAACUAAUUUACAUGUGAAUCUAUAACAGUGCUCAGCACCAAUUUGAUAUUGAAUUAGUAUUGGUUUUCAAGGAAAAGUGUUGAUGACUGCUCAUGACAGGUGACUCAAAUUUUAGGCAUUCAUUAGGAAUUUGGUGAGGAUACAAUGUUAGGAAAGCUUGAAGUCAUGAGAGAUGUGAUUUCAAGUGAAUAGGCAAUUUAAGGCUCCUGAGCAUUUAUGCAGAUAUUGGACAAGUCAUAUGUGAAAAGCAGGUUAGCUUUGGGACCUACAGUAAACGUGCAUCACUGGGACCUAUAGUAAACGUGCCACUGUGAAGAAAACACCACAACUAGACAAUUUUAGUAGUUGGUGAGACCCACACAUCAGCAGGUGAAUGGUAAAUGGUACCUUUUAUUAUGGAUCACCCCUGGACCAAAGACCUAGUACCUUUUGUUGUUGUAAGUUCCUAAUUAGUUUGUUUCUGUAUUAUGUCAGAGCUAUCCGGAUGUUGAGUGGGGGUCCCUGGAAGGUGGGAACUGCUAUUAUGACCAUGAUGAAGCUGUCCAUUUCCUAUGGAUAACAAUAUGGGUGGCUUGGCCAUUUAGACAAGCCCAUGUUUAUGUAUUAUCUUGAAAUUGAUGAAGCAGAUCCAGAUGUGCGUUGGAGCUAUCCGGAUGUUGAACUGGGUUCCCUGGAAGGUGGAAACCG